rnacentral:rRNA from 1 species
GACGAACGCUGGCGGCGUGCCUAAUACAUGCAAGUUGAGCGCUGAAGGUUGGUACUUGUACCGACUGGAUGAGCAGCGAACGGGUGAGUAACGCAUGGGGAAUCUGCCUUUGAGCGGGGGACAACAUUUGGAAACGAAUGCUAAUACCGCAUAAAAACUUUAAACACAAGUUUUAAGUUUGAAAGAUGCAAUUGCAUCACUCAAAGAUGAUCCCGCGUUGUAUUAGCUAGUUGGUGAGGUAAAGGCUCACCAAGGCGAUGAUACAUAGCCGACCUGAGAGGGUGAUCGGCCACAUUGGGACUGAGACACGGCCCAAACUCCUACGGGAGGCAGCAGUAGGGAAUCUUCGGCAAUAGACGAAAGUCUGACCGAGCAACGCCGCGUGAGUGAAGAAGGUUUUCGGAUCGUAAAACUCUGUUGGUAGAGAAGAACGUUGGUGAGAGUGGAAAGCUCAUCAAGUGACGGUAACUACCCAGAAAGGGACGGCUAACUACGUG